rnacentral:misc_RNA from 1 species
GGCAGAAGGUUUAAUUGAGCAACGUGGCGGUCAAUAUGUGGAGGAUGUGGGAGAAGAGGAUGUGGGAGAAGAGUAUUUUCAAGAUCUAUUCUCUAGAUCAUUUUUUCAAUCUUCAAGCACUGGUGGAUUCAUAAUGCAUGACCUGGUGAAUGACCUAGCACAAGUGGUUGCUGGAGAUGCAUGUUUCAGAUUGGAGGAUAAAGUGACUCCACGUAAGCGAGAAAAAUCUCGCCACUCUUCUUACAUCCCUAGCCCCUAUGAUCGCUGUGAAAGAUUUGAGUUGUUUGAAAAUAUCAAGUGUAUGCGAACCUUCCUGCCUUUAUCACUACACCGUUAUGGUUUUCGAUAUAACUCCUUAGCAAAUUGUGUCCCUUCUUAUUUGUUAUCAAUGUUACGAUGUUUAAGGGUGCUAUCCUUCCGUGGUUAUAAUAUCACUGAGCUACCAGAUUCAAUAGGUGCCUUGAAGCAUCUAAGGUAUCUUGACCUUUCAUACACUCACAUUAUAACUUUACCUGAGACAACAACUUCUCUAUGUAACUUACAGACUAUGCUGCUAAAAGGCUGUGAGCAUCUUGAGAAAUUGCCUUCAGAAAUGCAAAAUCUGAUCAACUUGCGUCACCUUGAUGUGGAAGAAGUAAAAUUCUGUGAAGGGAUGCCAUUAGGAAUAGAAAAAUUGAAAAAUCUUCGGACAUUGUCUGAUUUUGU